UUGUCUAUACAUGUGAUUUCAUUGUGGAUUUCUCAUGUUGCAUUUUUCAGCUCCUUCAAGGCAGUUAUGUUUCUCUCCAACCUGGCUAAUGUAGUUGUCAGCUUGUAUUGUUUUAUCAUAAUUCUUAGCUUAUUUGCAUUUUGUUAGAUCAUGCUCCUUUAGAACAGUGAAGUUCGUUAUUACCCACCUUCCAAAGCCUAGUUCUGUCAAUUUAGCUAUCUUAGCCUUUGCUGGAGGAAUGUUUCAGUCAUUUGGGAAAGAAGUGGCACUCUGAAUUUUCAGCAUUUUCCAAUGAUUCCUUCUCAUCUUUGUGGGCUUAUCUGCCUUUGGUCUUUAAGUUUGCUGGGGGUUCACUCCAGACCCUAGUCACCUUGGUCCCUGCUGAACCUUGUGGUGUCACCAACGAAGGCUUUGAAACAGCAAAGAUGGCAGCCUGCUCCUUUCUCUGGAAGCUCUGUCUCAAAACACACACGUUGGAAAUACUAAUCAAUCUCAACUCAGUCUUAAUUAAAAUCAUCUGUGAAGUCAAAGACCACUGAGACAAUAUUUUUCCAAGUAAAAUGAACAGUAAGAUAAAUAAAGUGACCGAACUGAUGCA
rnacentral:lncRNA from 13 species